GUCAUUUCUACAGCUUUACCAUGGAAUGGUGCCUGAGGACUCUUCUCGUUUUUGCUGUGUGUUGCUUAGAAAUCAGAGCUGAAGACACAGUGACUCAGUCCACAGGAGAUGUGAUGGGAUACGAAGGAGGAUCGGUGGCUCUCAGCUGUAACUUUACACUCAGCAGUAGUACAGUUUCAUACACUCUCUUCUGAAGAGCUCCAUGGGAGGUUCAGUGCCAACUUAAACACAAGUAU